rnacentral:rRNA from 1 species
UGGGGAAUAUUGCGCAAUGGGGGGAACCCUGACGCAGCCAUGCCGCGUGAAUGAAGAAGGCCUUAGGGUUGUAAAGUUCUUUCGGUAUUGAGGAAGGUUGAUGUGUUAAUAGCACAUCAAAUUGACGUUAAAUACAGAAGAAGCACCGGCUAACUCCGUGCCAGCAGCCGCGGUAAUACGGAGGGUGCGAGCGUUAAUCGGAAUAACUGGGCGUAAAGGGCACGCAGGCGGUUAUUUAAGUGAGGUGUGAAAGCCCCGGGCUUAACCUGGGAAUUGCAUUUCAGACUGAGUAACUAGAGUACUUUAGGGAGGGGUAGAAUUCCACGUGUAGCGGUGAAAUGCGUAGAGAUGUGGAGGAAUACCGAAGGCGAAGGCAGCCCCUUGGGAAUGUACUGACGCUCAUGUGCGAAAGCGUGGGGAGCAAACAGGAUUAGAUACCCUGGUAGUCCACGCUGUAAACGCUGUCGAUUUGGGGGUUGGGGUUUAACUCUGGCGCCCGUAGCUAACGUGAUAAAUCGACCGCCUGGGGAGUACGGCCGCAAGGUUA